UACGUCUUGUGUCAGAGACAUUCUACUAUGUGUUGCAGACACUGAAUUAAUCAGCUAACCAGCUAGCUUGUCCUGUAGUAGCUGGUUUCUAUACCUUAAGAAACAACACGUCACUGUAGCGACCGCUCUGCCAUCAGUCCAACAUGAGAAAAGAAGUAGCAUGGCCCAUUCAGUGCUCUUGUUGACAGAGUGAUAGCUAAAGCUGUAGGAAAUCACUACCUUGAGCAGCAAAACACAAAAAGAUGAAAAAGACAAAAGAAGGUUUAAUGCUUACACAGAUAAGCAAACAGCUGCUUAUAAAGCUAACCUUUGUUUCAGCUUUUAAAGGUAGCUCAUUUUAUAAUGUUACCAUCAGUGUAAUUGAGGGUUUUUGAGCACACAUGGCCUGUUUUAGGUCAUGCAAAGCAUCUUAAUUGGAUUUAAGUUCAGAAAUGAACUAGGCCACUUGCUGUUGUUUGUCUUCAAUCAGCAUGUCUUUCGGAUCCCAAGUGCGCUGAGCUUCAGGACAAAAACUGAUGGCCAGACAUUUACAUUUUCUGAGAGCACAAUUUAUGGCUCCUUCAGUUACGGCAAGUCCUUCAUGUCCUGAAGCGUCAAAGCAGCCCCAGAACAUCACAUCACCACCACCAUGUUUGACUAAUAUUUUCCCCAAUGUCUUCAGGAUACUGUUUGGUUUUUUGGAGACCUCCUGGAUGAGUCAUCGUUGCUCUUGGAAUAAUUUCGCUGUAGUAGCAUGGACAGCCUUGGUGAAAAAUGAAAGUCUCCUCAGUCUACGCAAAUAAGAACCAGAUGAGUCCUGAAAUGAGCUCUCCUGGAAGCCUUGUCUUGCUUGUAAGGUCUGCUAAAACACACAAGUCUUUGUGAGCGAGUGACCUGCUGAGCCACAAACUACACAAACAGCGGUUCAUUUCAGCAUCAAAGCAGCGCGCGACACUAGGAAAUCUCCAUCCCAACUCUUCACUUCAUCUGGAAUUAAUGCGGGAUGUCAGAGAAGGAUGGGAGUUUCUGUGCUGCCAAGAAUGGAUAGUCAGGUCACGGAAUGAGGAUACACAGAGACAGAGGGCUUCAACAUCACUGCCCAGGGGCAUUACUGAUGUGGCUACAGAGCAGUGGAUAUCUUCUAGUGGAGUUUGAUGAGACUAUCAAUAAUGUUUCUGCAAUAGUUUUUUGUUCAUUCACUUUUGGACAGGUUUGUCUUCACAGCCCAUUUCUUCUCUCAGCAGAGCCUUGUGACUAUUUGCAGCCACGAAGAAGCCACAAUGCAUCUGUCAUAACUGUAAAAUCAAGACAAUUGUUUCAAUAAACAACACAAAAAACCUU